rnacentral:ncRNA from 1 species
CUAAAUUGGCAAACCUGUCGAAAGGCAGGGACGCAAAGUUAAGUGUCUAAGCGGAAAAAACCGUAUGAUUG